CAGGGCUACAUAGACAGACAGACAGACGGACAGAUGGAUGAACAGGAGCUCUUGCAGAGGAUCUGGAUUCAGUUCCUGUCACCCACGUGUUUACAUUCAGUGUGUACAUUGGCAGUUUCCUACAGUCUGCAACCCCAGUCCCAGGGAACCUGAUUGUCCUCCUUUGGCUUUCAAGGCACGGCACGCACAAACACGUGUAGCCAAACCAUCCAGACAUAAAAUAAAAUCGAACAAUCCAAAAAUCCUACAAGUGUUUGGUGUCACUGGAGGCCAGGCACCAGGAAUACACCUUCCUCAGCCGGUUAGUGUCCUAUAGACCUGUGGUUCUCAGCGUGUGGGUCACGAUCCCUCUGAGAGUCAAAUCACCCUUUCACAGGCAUCGCCUACAACCAUCGGAAUACACAGAUAUUUACAGUACAAUUCAUAAUAACAAAAUUACGGUAAUGAAGCAGCAAUGAAAGUGAUUUUGUGGUUGGAGGUCACCAUGACAUGAAGAACUGUAUUAGGGGUCGAAGCAUUAGGAAGGUUGAGAAGCAUCGUUACAGGGUUCCCUCCUACUGUUCCUCUGGUGAAUGUCCAAGGUGGGGAGGUGAAAGGGGCCUGUCAGUCAAGGAGGCUGCACCACAUUCUGCUUCUUCGUUCUGUUUGUUUUUGAGACAGGGUUUCUCUGUUUAGCCUGAAUCAGAGAUUUGCCUGCCUCUGCCUCCCGAAUGCUGGGGAUUAAAGGUGACAUUACAGUGACAGGCCUCACAUUCUGUUUUUCAGACUGUUAUUACGUUCAGUGUGUCUGUGCUCAUGUUCAGGAAUGCACACACGAGUACAUACCAUGAGAUACAUAUAGUUGUCAAAGGACAAUUUAUAGGAGUCAGUUCUCUCCUUCCAACAUGGGAGUCCAGGGGACAGAACGCAGGUUGUUAGGAUUUGUGACUGGCUAUCUUGAUGGCCCCAUUUUGUUUUGGAGAUGAAAAGUCUCAUGGACCCCAGGCUGGUCUUGUACUUGUGUAGUUGAAGAAGACCUUGAACUUCUGAUCUUCCUGUGUCCACCUCCCAAGGGCUGGGAUCACAGGCAUGUGUCACCGUGUUCCAUUCUCAUUGUAGUGUUUCUAAUCUCUGAUUUCCCAUACCCUUGAGGCAGUUUCCCCAACUGCAGCACCUUCUAGGGGGAUAGGGGAGGCAGACUCUUAGGACAGCACUGCAGCAGAGGGCUGGGAGAUAUGGUCCCUGGCCAGACUGCCUGCUCAUUGUUUGCACAGGACUUCUCCUGGACUGGAGAGCAGGAGGACUCAGCUACCUCCCUUCGGCAGCUUAGGUCACCUGGCAUCAGUCACUCAUCUGCUCUGGGCCUCAGUUUUCUCACCUGUAAAAUGGAGCUAAUCUUACACCUGUAAGGACUAAAGAUGCUGUCUGCCUAAGUAGUCUGCUGAAUACCAUGGGUCAUCAAGAAGUGCCAGCAGAAAUAGGGAGUCCAACCCCUGGCAGAAGCGUAGGCCUUUGAGGUCUCUGAUUUUAAGGGGGAGCCCCUUGGUUGAGGGUUGAGAAGCCUGGCUCUGGCAUUCUCCCAAACCAGGAAAGGUCAGAGCAAGGCCAGAGGCUCUGGGGUGCUCAGGGAAGAAUGGGGAGCCAAGCUUCUCACCUAAGUCAGCCAGGUGUGUGGGGAGGAAGUGGAGAUUUCUGGGAGGAGGCAGGAAGGAGACUGUGGUAUGACGGUGGCCCCAGGAUGACUUGAGGCCACACUCCAAACCUUGUUUAUUCCUCAUUGCAAAUGUUUGAAAGAAGCAUCCCCCCCUUUCCCCCAGGCUCAGGGAGGUCACUUCUCAAGGGUCAUUCACAGUGCACAUCCCAUGAUCUUUUUGGCUGACAAGGUUGCUAGAGAGACGGUGUAAUCUUGUUUUAUUGCUGAGGAAACUAAGGCACCAAAGAAUGUCAGUUCCCACCACUCUCUCCUAAGAGUUUCACGGGGGCAGCCGUCUAGAUGGCACUGUGACGCUGGGGCCCGAGGAGAAGUGGCUCACAGUAAGAGCAGAGAACUGGAGUAAGUGUGCGUUCCCAUCAGAGGGCCUUCAGUAGAGGCACCUGGUGUCCCCUUGCCCGUACCCCAAUAGCAGAGAUGUAGCAGAGGAAAAGGCUAAGAUAAGAAUUCCUUAUCUUACUAUUCAUAGCUUUUUUUGUUGUUGUUUGUUUUUGAGACAGGACUUUCUUUGUGUAGCCCUGGCUGUCCAGGAAUUCAUUCUAUAGACCUGGCUGGUCUCAGACUCAGAGAUUCAACUGCCCAUGCCUCCAGAAUGCGGGAAUUAAAGGUGUGUAUGCCUACUGCCUAGCUUCAUAAUGUGGAAAGGUUCCCUAUUUUAGUAGAACCUCCCUUUUUAACCUUUUGCCUAAGUGGGCACCCCAGAGACCCAUACCACGGCUACCUCCUAUGGCUGUGUACAUUCUGUGUCUAUACCUUGGACCCCAGGGACCCUGGGGAAUUGAGAGCUGAGAGAAGAGCAAGAAAAAGAGAAGGGCCAAGGCAAAGGCCUGGCUGCUGUCACAGCACAGGGCCAGCUCUGCCUCUGGCCCCAGCCUUGGCCAUCUUCUCUCACGGGCGUUUGUCCAUUCAGCCCCAAGAAUCUUGUUUGCAGUUUGCUCCACCUCACUUUGCUCCAUGAGGCCCUUGGUCUGCCACCCAUCUGCAUGACCUUUUGCUAUGCGGCCUGACACCCACCCUCCAAGGACUGGCACACAGCCUGGGGAUUUUUAUACCUCUUAGGAGGAAAUUUGGGCCCAAGUUUCCUAGUCAGGGGUGCCUAGCCCCAGAGAUCAAUGAAGAGGGUUGUUGGGGAGGAGGCUUUGGGUAGGUGAGGUGCCAAGGCUUCAGAAGAGAUCUGGACGCUGGCUGGAGAGGCAGGAGGAAGGAGGGAAGGCUAUGGGUGCCCCAAGCUGCUGCCUGGCAGGUCCCCGUACCCAGGCUAGGGAAGUUUGUUAUUUCUCCUGCUCCGACUUCCCCCUUUGAUUUAUUAUAGCCAUGAAAUGCUCUGCUCUCUUCUCUUUUCCUUGCUGUACCCCGGGGUUGGAGGAACACAGGCCUCCCCAGGCCCCAGGAUUCAGCCUUACUGGACUACCAUCUCUUUCCAAGGGCAGGGCAUGGGGACCAGGAAUGAGAGCAGUCCCAGUUAGAGCAGAGAAAGAUGGCUGAACAGAGCUGUACGAGCCUCUGACCGUGGCAUCCGGGAAGCAGAAACAGAAGACCUGUAAGUUCAAGGCCAGAAAAAAAAAAAAAAAGAAUAAAGAAAGAAUAACCCAGAUCGAUAAGGACCUGGUUAUAGAAACCGUGACCACGAGACACUAUCCAGCAACGACAAGAACCACAGCAACAUGCAUCCACACGGGCCACAGGGGCGAUACCCAAGUUCCUGCAAGUUUCCUCUAUCAUUUUCUGUUAUGAAAAUAAAUUAGAAAGCCAGUCUAGGUUAGAGAGGGAGUUCCAGGCUAACCAGACCGGCAUGGGUCAAUUGUAAGUAAGCGAGUACAUUAAAUAAAUAAAAGCGAAGAACUAGAAUGUACAUCUAGACACGUUUAUAAGGAAGAGCAGACAGGGCUGUAGCUGAGUCUUGGCCGGUACUCGCGAGACCUUUAUUUCAAUCCCCAGUACCACAAAGAAGCAGGACUGAGGGACAGGCUGGGAAUCCCAGCUUCUGGAGAAAAUGAGAUGAGUGUGUGUCUGGGGGUGGGCAGGAAGUUCCAGACCUGCUGGGCAAUUCAGUGACAUUUUGUUUCAUAUUAAACUGUAAAGGGAAGCCAGGAAGAUACAACUCAGUGGUAGAGCACUUGCCUGCCUUAUGUGAGGCCCUGGGUUCAGCCUCAGUGCAAGACAGAAAGAAAAAUCAAGGAAAUAAAGUUAGGGUACAGUUCCUUCUAGAAGGAAAUGAGGGGAGGGCACCUAGGGCUUGCUUCAACCUGGGCUUCUCUCUCCUGGCUUUCUUUAACAGCUCCAUUCCCAGACCUGAUGUUCAUGUCUUCGCCCGGGUAAUUAUGUCCCAGGUGUUAACCCCACAGUUAUUUUUCGCCGCCCCUACGUAUGUUCUGUACUCUGUUUUAUGAAUGGUGUCCCAUGGUCUGCAGAUACACAGCCGGACGGGGAGACACACAUUCAGUGCCUCGCUGCUGGGUUUGUUCUUUUCUGUUUUUCAGUACCUGGGAAUCAAACUCGUGGCCUUGCGCUUGUUAGGGAAGCACUCUAAACACUGGGGUACAUCUUCAGCUGUAGUCCUUGCUACUUAUGAGAUUGAGGGUCACUCGAGCCCAGGAAUUUGGGGAUAACCAUCACAAGACACUAUCUCAAUAAAAUAAAUACGUUUUUUAUAUGUA
rnacentral:sRNA from 1 species